rnacentral:rRNA from 1 species
CCUACGGGGGACAGCAGUGGGGGAUAUUGCGCAAUGGGGGGAACCCUGAUGCAGCGACGCCGCGUGGGUGAAGGAGCGUUUCGGCGCGUAAAGCCCUAUCGGCAGGGAAGAAGGAGGACGGUACCUGACUAAGAAGCCCCGGCUAACUACGUGCCAGCAGCCGCGGUAAUACGGAGGGGGCCAGCGUUAUCCGGAUUUACUGGGUGUAAAGGGGGCGCAGACGGCAGGGCAAGCCAGAGGUGAAAGCCCGGGGCCCAACCCCGGGACGGCACUUGGAACGGCGCGGCUGGAGUGCAGGAGGGGCAGGCGGAAUUCCAGGUGUAGCGGUGAAAUGCGUAGAUAUAAGGAGGAACACCAGUGGCGAAGGCGGCCUGCUGGACUGCGACUGACGUUGAGGCCCGAAAGCGUGGGGAGCAAACAGGAUUAGAUACCCCUGUAGUC